UACGUAGGGGGGCAAGCGUUGUCCGGAUUUAUUGGGCGUAAAGAGCGUGUAGGCGGCCUUACAGGUCAGCUGUGAAAACUCGAGGCUCAACCUCGAGACGUCGGUUGAAACCGUAUGGCUAGAGUCCGGAAGAGGAGAGUGGAAUUCCCGGUGUAGCGGUGAAAAUGCGCAGAUAUCGGGAAGAACACCCCGUGGCGAAGGCGGCUCUCUGGGACGGUACUGACGCUGAGACGCGAAAAGCGUGGGGGAGCGAACAGG
rnacentral:rRNA from 1 species